rnacentral:misc_RNA from 1 species
UCCCAGUUAACCUGGGCAGUCUUGCCAGAGUUCCCGCCAUUACGCGUUGGCAACUGACAAUAAGGGUUGCGCUCGUUGCGGGACUUAACCCAACACCUCACGGCACGAGCUGACGAUAGCCAUGCAGCACCUAUAUAGAGCCCCUUUCGGGAAACGCCGUUUCUGACGCUGUGCUCUACACUUCGAGCCUGGGUAAGGUUCUUCGCGUCGCAUCGAAUUAAACCACAUGCUCCACUGCUUGUGCGGGCCCCCGUCAAUUCUUUUAAGUUUCACCCUUGCGAGCGUACUCCCCAGGCGGCAUACUUAAUGCGUUAGCUUCGAUACAGACGGGGUUGAGCCCACCUACACCUAGUAUGCAUCGUUUAAGGCUAGGACUAC